GAAUGUGGAGGGUUUGCAGCAGGCAGCUCUGGAUGAAUACGGCGCCGACCUCCACAUUGCUUUGCACAGCCGACAAGACGAGCUGCUCUACCUGAGAAGUCUGACCGAGAUGUUGUUUCCCUACGUCAUGCCUCCCAAAGCAACUGACUGCAGGUCUCUGACUCUGUUGCUGCGGGAGGUGAUGGCUGGCUCCGUCAUCCUACCAACCAUGGAUUUCAUGGCUGACCCUGAUAAUGUGAACCACAUGGUGCUCCUCUUUGUUGACAACACUCCAGUAAGUAAAAAGGACAUGUCCAUUGCUUUCUAUGUGAAUCCAUAAACACUUAAUAUACUGUAUGUCCAGUUC